UACAGAGGGGGCAAGCGUUGUUCGGAAUUACUGGGCGUAAAGGGCGCGUAGGCGGCCUGCUAAGUCGAACGUGAAAUCCCUGGGCUCAACCCAGGAACUGCGUCCGAUACUGGUUGGCUUGAAUCCGGGAGAGGGAUGUGGAAUUCCAGGUGUAGCGGUGAAAUGCGUAGAUAUCUGGAGGAACACCGGUGGCGAAGGCGACAUCCUGGACCGGUAUUGACGCUGAGGCGCGAAAACCAGGGGAGCAAACGGG
rnacentral:rRNA from 1 species